rnacentral:rRNA from 1 species
AUUGAACGCUGGCAGCAGGCUUAACACAUGCAAGUCGAGCGGAGAUGAGGUGCUUGCACCUUAUCUUAGCGGCGGACGGGUGAGUAAUGCUUAGGAAUCUGCCUAUUAGUGGGGGACGACAUUCCGAAAGGAAUGCUAAUACCGCAUACGCCCUACGGGGGAAAGCAGGGGAUCUGCGGACCUUGCGCUAAUAGAUGAGCCUAAGUCGGAUUAGCUAGUUGGUGGGGUAAAGGCCUACCAAGGCGACGAUCUGUAGCGGGUCUGAGAGGAUGAUCCGCCACACUGGGACUGAGACACGGCCCAGACUCCUACGGGAGGCAGCAGUGGGGAAUAUUGGACAAUGGGCGGAAGCCUGAUCCAGCCAUGCCGCGUGUGUGAAGAAGGCCUUUUGGUUGUAAAGCACUUUAAGCGAGGAGGAGGCUACCUGGAUUAAUACUCUAGGAUAGUGGACGUUACUCGCAGAAUAAGCACCGGCUAACUCUGUGCCAGCCGCCGCCGUAAUAC